rnacentral:rRNA from 1 species
UACGGAGGGGGCUAGCGUUGUUCGGAAUUACUGGGCGUAAAGCGCGCGUAGGCGGAUCUGCAAGUCGGGGGUGAAAUCCCGAGGCUCAACCUCGGAACUGCCUUCGAUACUGCGGGUCUCGAGUCCGGGAGAGGUGAGUGGAAUUCCGUAGUGUAGAGGUGAAAUUCGUAGAUAUUAGGAAGAACACCAGUGGCGAAGGCGGCUCACUGGGCCAACACUGACGCUCAGGCAC